rnacentral:rRNA from 1 species
UCCCAGCCGUAAACGAUGCUUGCUAGGUGUCAGGUGCGGUGCGACCGCAUCUGGUGCCGCAGUGAAAACCUGAAGCGAGCCACCUGGGAAGUACGGUCGCAAGGCUGAAACUUAAAGGAAUUGGCGGGGGAGCACUACAACGGGUGGAGCCUGCGGUUCAAUUGGAUUCAACGCCGGAAAGCUUACCGGGUUCGACAGCACUAUGAAGGUCAGGCUGAAGACCUUACCGGAUUCGCUGAGAGGAGGUGCAUGGCCGUCGUCAGUUCGUACUGUGAAGCAUCCUGUUAAGUCAGGCAACGAGCAAGACCCGUGCCCACAGUUGCCAGCAUUUUCGCAAGAAAGAUGGGCACACUGUGGGGACCGCCGCUGCUA